rnacentral:rRNA from 1 species
AUGUCAACAAUAAUAAUUUAUGAACGCCUACAUCCAAUUGGAUAUAUAUAUCUGGAUCACCCCAACACAAAGUGCUUGCCAAAGGAAAAUAAUAAUAAAAAGGAAAGGUGUAGAUCACCAUGA